rnacentral:rRNA from 1 species
AUUGAACGCUGGCGGCAGGCUUAACACAUGCAAGUCGAGCGGGGGAAGGUAGCUUGCUACCGGACCUAGCGGCGGACGGGUGAGUAAUGCUUAGGAAUCUGCCUAUUAGUGGGGGACAACAUCUCGAAAGGGAUGCUAAUACCGCAUACGUCCUACGGGAGAAAGCAGGGGAUCUUCGGACCUUGCGCUAAUAGAUGAGCCUAAGUCGGAUUAGCUAGUUGGUGGGGUAAAGGCCUACCAAGCCGACGAUCUGUAGCGGGUCUGAAAGGAUGAUCCGCCACACUGGGACUGAGAAACGGCCCAGACUCCUACGGGAGGCAGCAGUAGGGAAUAUUGGACAAUGGGGGGAACCCUGAUCCAGCCAUGCCGUGUGUGUGAAGAAGGCCUUAUGGUUGUAAAGCACUUUAAGCGAGGAGGAGGCUACUUUAGUUAAUACCUGGAGAUAGUGGACGUUACUCGCAGAGUAAGCACCGGCUAACUCUGUGCCAGCCGCCGCCGUAA